UACGUAGGGGGCGAGCGUUGUCCGGAAUUACUGGGCGUAAAGGGCGCGCAGGCGGCCCGCUAAGUCCGCUGUGAAAGACCGGGGCUCAACCCCGGGGUGUCAGCGGAGACUGGUGGGCUAGGGUGUCGGAGAGGAGUGCGGAAUCCCUGGUGUAGCGGUGGAAUGCGUAGAGAUCAGGGGGAACACCGAUGGCGAAGGCAGCACUCUGGCCGGAGACCGACGCUGAGGCGCGAAAGCUGGGGGAGCGAACGGGG
rnacentral:rRNA from 1 species